UAGUGACCUUCCUCCUGAUGCUAGUGACCUUGCUCGUGAGGCUAGUGACCUUGAUUUAGAUAAGAAGAUUGAGAAACUUGGAUUGAAUGGAAACAAGGCUCUUAAAAAAGGUUGCUUCGAAGAAGCAUUAGAUGCGUAUUCUUCUACAAUACAUUUGGCUCAAGAUUGCAAUAAACCUUUCGAUCCUUUGUUGCUUACUUACUUACUGGUUUACGUAAAAUUGGAGCAAUGGGAAAAUGCUUUAAAAGAUGCGAAUGAUUACAUAACGCGCCGUCCAUAUUGCUGGAGGGGUUAUGCUUUGAAAGCUCUGGCACUUGAUGGCUUGAAUAAGGAAGUCAGUGCCGACCAAAAGGAUAAAGCCAGUGUUGAAAUAGCAGCUUCUUUGGCUUUUUAUCACAACAAGGCGAUUUUCGCUGAUUUCCCUAUUUUUGUGGAAUCUUUCCCGGACUUGCAAAGCCGAAUUUUUAUAUGCGAUAGUGUGGAUGAACUGUUCGAUGCGAUGUUUUCGCAGGAAGUAGAAACGGGUUUGUUGAAGAUUUUGGUUUUGGGAUCGGUUGAAUAUAUCCUAAAUUAUUCUGAAACCGUUGACAAACCGUGGAACAACUGUGUUCUAGUUGGUACGAGAACCAAUUGUUCUGUUUCUUUGAA
rnacentral:lncRNA from 1 species